rfam:Myotis brandtii contig279076, whole genome shotgun sequence.
GGUGGUUCUCAGGUGACACACCCCACAAUCGGGCUCCCUCCUCUCUGGUUCCAGGUGCGUCAUCCGAGAACCCCA